AAUUAUCAACCAUUCUCUAUCUCUCUUGAUUGGAGUAUGGCUUGGAGUUGGGGGUUGCUGGCAGGAAACCGUCAGCUCUCCUUAAAUGCAUUAGCGAUCGAGUUGGCUAGUCUUUCGACGUGCACGGCCUCGGAUGUGAUAAUGAUCAUCGUGGCUGGAGCGUCUUUCUUAGACUAUGUACAUAGAUAGCUUCUAAUCAGAAUGGAAGGGGUUGGUCUUAUAUGGUCUAUCGAACUUAGCUACUAGGCAGUCUUUACUGGCGAACACAAGUGAGAGAGACAGACAGACUUGACCUCCUCUCUCCAUCAUUCAAAG
rnacentral:misc_RNA from 1 species